ACACUUCCAUGUUUUUUAAACAAGGCUUUGACUUCCACGUCUCAAUGCAAUGUGUAAUUCAAGGGACGUUUAAAGAUUGGACCCGUCUUUCGAGUCACGUUUACAAAUAUUAGAAUGAGUAAUUUACUGUAUUACAAGACCAUUGUUGUACUAUCUGUUUUAUGCAAAGCAAAUUCGGAAAUGUGAAAAGGAACCAGAAAAUGGGGACACUAUGUAAUUGUGUAAUACAUGCGAUUUGACCAGGGGAUGCCAAACUUUUGCAUACAACUGUAGGAGUAUCUGUGCAACAUUUGACCACAGAAGGCAGAACAGAGGUACAGCAACAUAGAUCGCCGCAAUGACGUCACUAGUGGAACAAGACACAGGUGUGCUCCUACCUGCAGGCCAUAUACAUUGAACCCAGAGAAGACAGAGAGUAGAAGGUACAGGUCUUACUGAAGGCAAGCUGCACACAAACUACAUCUGACUGUAUUCGCAGUGCUGACGAUCACAGGCCUUUCCCCUGAGUCCCUGAGCUAGGAGUAUUAUGAGGACACCUGGACAGUCAACAGUCUGCAGCUUCACCUGUAUAAGAGGUCACUCUUAACAGCAGUUUCUUACAUCAUUAACAGGGAGUCAUGAUACAGGGUUUUCUCUUUCAGGGAAGUCAAAAAAAUCACAUUCUUAGUUUUUUUUUUAACAAAUGUUGAUAUGAAAAUGAUUGAAUUGUUAGGAAAACAACCAUUUCAUGUACAUUAAACAUUACUUAAAUUUGUUGCUGACCGAUAAUGUUUGAAGAGCUCCUGAGUGCUUCUUCCUUUUAUUUAAAUAAUACAUUGCCUCAAAUCUUGCAUCUGUCUUUAAAAUGCCUAUGUAAAUGUGGAACAGUGUUCAGAGCUAUAUUGUUGCACAGUGGAUUGUGAGUUUGUGUUACAGCACUGUCAUGCUCUUUCAGAGGACAGUCCAAUUGGUUCCUACACUGUUGUGAUCAUUUUUCCUCAGGAGGUGCUCAGCCCCAGGAAAGAACAUUAAGACCCUGACUUGUUCGCAUUUUCCUCUCUAAUUUUUGAAGCAUUAAACAUUUCUACACAAAGCACUUUACAAGUAACAUUGCAGGCUCUUGUACUUUCCCAGUCUUCAGUUUCCCCAGGAGUGAAGUUAAGAGCAGGACUACACUCUGAACUGGAUAUGGCAGGCGUAGAACUCAAAGCCAGAGCUGUUCUUCCACAUCAUCAUUUACCAAUAGGGGCUGUAGAAUUAAGAGUAUACUUAAUUCUAUUUCUUCAUCAUUUUGAUGGUAAGCAGCCUCCCUUUCUGUACCUACAAGUAACAGCUGUAUUUUACAGCCGACUUGCAGGAAAGAAACUCGGGCGGUAACUGCUACAUUCAUGACUGACAGGUACCCCUACACAACUUGCAGGGGAAAGGGAAACGUCUGUAGGCUCCUUAAAGGAAUGAGCAGAUCAGACGCGACGUGACCGCUCUGACGGUACCCGACACAACCCCGAUAUUCACACAGCCUUUAAGAAACAAUCCAAGGACACAGCCUUUAAGAAACAAUCCAAGUUUAUUGCAGAAAUUGAAGAAGUAGAAAGAGCAUAUGAAUAACUCGGCUGGCUGUUUUAUCCAGUAUUGAACAUCGCUCAGGCGGUCUGCAGUCUGGAGCCCCGGCAGAAGAAGCGCUGCUCUUUCAGCACACAGCCGGAGAGACGGUGGGUAACCUCGGACCGCAAGGUGCAAAACCACUAUAUAAAGCUAAGGACGCCAUGCAGCUACCAGAACGUUUUUAAAGGAGACCAAUUGACGGCUGAUACGAGAUGAAUCACACCUGGCUUCUGGCUUUUAAUUAAUUAGAAACGUCUAAAACCCGGACUGGAUUCUGGAGUUGGCCGUCUCCGCUUUGGAAAUGGUCCUUCCCACGCAAAUAAUUUGGAGUACAAUCCCACUCCACAUUUUCAACUGACCCGCUGAUAAAGUAACUUUAUUCAACUUUAAUUGAACAUUUAAGAUUUGUUUUCAACUCAAUUCAAAAUACUUUAUUCUUCCCCAGGGAUUCAGCUGGUGAAUAGUAAAAGGUUAGAAAUUAGCGUGAUCCUUGCGUUAGAAACAGUUUUAGAAUUCACGUCUUUUAACAGUAAGAAUUCAACUGCUACUGUCUGACAGUCAAUCUCACCUGUGAUUACUGUACUGUACAUCACUCAUUGACAGUGGUUCCUCAUCACUGUAAACUGUGUAUAUCCCUGUUUAUACCUGUGUAUAGAAUUUUGAUGACUUUUUUAAUUAAUCAAAAUAGUGCCAGCCGUCUGAUAUUCAUAGAAAACAUUUUCUAACCACCUGCACUCUUUUAGCUUGAAUACAGUAACUCUCUUAUCUUAUAGGAUGUUGAAUAUUAUCUUAUUAUAUAUAAUAAGAGUGAUGUGAUUAUCCACUGAUCGCAAAACUAGUUAUUACAUCCUUAUCACUAUUCUGUUUUCUAUGCAUACACUCGUUCCCAUUCUAUUUACGUGCAUAGUUUCUUAUUUUUUCAUCUUUCACCUUAGGAACUAAACUUAGAUAUGGAACCUUGUCAAACGCCCAUGGAAAUAUAAACAGAUCAUGUCGUGACAACUAUUAGUAUAAAGGAACUGAAGGGAUACUCUACCCGAACACCAGCCGGGGCAUAAAAACAUUGAGAACAAUUAAAUCGUUCAUAUAGUUUU